ACACAUGCAAGUCGAACGAUGAACCACUUCGGUGGGGAUUAGUGGCGAACGGGUGAGUAACACGUGGGCAAUCUGCCCUGCACUCUGGGACAAGCCCUGGAAACGGGGUCUAAUACCGGAUACUGACCCGCUUGGGCAUCCAAGCGGUUCGAAAGCUCCGGCGGUGCAGGAUGAGCCCGCGGCCUAUCAGCUUGUUGGUGAGGUAAUGGCUCACCAAGGCGACGACGGGUAGCCGGCCUGAGAGGGCGACCGGCCACACUGGGACUGAGACACGGCCCAGACUCCUACGGGAGGCAGCAGUGGGGAAUAUUGCACAAUGGGCGAAAGCCUGAUGCAGCGACGCCGCGUGAGGGAUGACGGCCUUCGGGUUGUAAACCUCUUUCAGCAGGGAAGAAGCGGAAGUGACGGUACCUGCAGAAGAAGCGCCGGCUAACUACGUGCCAGCAGCCGCGGUAAUACGUAGGGCGCGAGCGUUGUCCGGAAUUAUUGGGCGUAAAGAGCUCGUAGGCGGCUUGUCACGUCGGUUGUGAAAGCCCGGGGCUUAACCCCGGGUCUGCAGUCGAUACGGGCAGGCUAGAGUUCGGUAGGGGAGAUCGGAAUUCCUGGUGUAGCGGUGAAAUGCGCAGAUAUCAGGAGGAACACCGGUGGCGAAGGCGGAUCUCUGGGCCGAUACUGACGCUGAGGAGCGAAAGCGUGGGGAGCGAACAGGAUUAGAUACCCUGGUAGUCCACGCCGUAAACGGUGGGCACUAGGUGUGGGCGACAUUCCACGUCGUCCGUGCCGCAGCUAACGCAUUAAGUGCCCCGCCUGGGGAGUACGGCCGCAAGGCUAAAACUCAAAGGAAUUGAC
rnacentral:rRNA from 1 species